CCUACGGGAGGCAGCAGUGGGGAAUAUUGCACAAUGGGGGGAACCCUGAUGCAGCGACGCCGCGUGGGUGAAGAAGCGCCUCGGCGCGUAAAGCCCUGUCAGCAGGGAAGAAAAUGACGGUACCUGCAGAAGAAGCCCCGGCUAACUACGUGCCCGCAGCCGCGGUAAUACGUAGGGGGCAAGCGUUAUCCGGAUUUACUGGGUGUUAAGGGGGCGGAGACGGCGGUGCAAGCCAGGAGUGAAAGCCCGGGGCUCAACCCCGGGACUGCUCUUGGAACUGCGUGGCUGGAGUGCAGGAGGGGCAGGCGGAAUUCCUGGUGUAGCGGUGAAAUGCGUAGAUAUCAGGAGGAACACCGGUGGCGAAGGCGGCCUGCUGGACUGCAACUGACGUUGAGGCCCGAAAGCGUGGGGAGCAAACAGGAUUAGAUACCCGAGUAGUC
rnacentral:rRNA from 1 species